UAGCAUAUCAAUAAGCGGAGGAAAAGAAACCAACAGGGAUUGCCUCAGUAACGGCGAGUGAAGCGGCAACAGCUCAAAUUUGAAAUCUGGCCCCCUCGGGGCCCGAGUUGUAAUUUGCAGAGGGUGCUUCGGCGUCGGCUCCGGUCUAAGUUCCUUGGAACAGGACGUCACAGAGGGUGAGAGCCCCGUACGUGGCCGGCAGCCUUCGCCGUGUGAAGCCCCUUCGACGAGUCGAGUUGUUUGGGAAUGCAGCUCUAAAUGGGAGGUAAAUUUCUUCUAAAGCUAAAUACCGGCUAGAGACCGAUAGCGCACAAGUAGAGUGAUCGAAAGAUGAAAAGCACUUUGGAAAGAGAGUUAAAAAGCACGUGAAAUUGUUGAAAGGGAAGCAGUUGCAGCCAGACUUGGCCGCGAGCGCUCAUCCGGGCUUCUGCCCGGUGCACUCGCCCGCGGUCAGGCCAGCAUCAGUUCGGGCGGCCGGAUAAAGGUCCCGGGAAUGUGGCUCCCCUCGGGGAGUGUUAUAGCCCGGGGCGCAAUACGGCCAGCCUGGACUGAGGUCCGCGCUUCGGCUAGGAUGCUGGCGUAAUGGCUGUAACUGGCCCGUCUUGAAACACGGACCAAGGAGUCUAACAUCUAUGCGAGUGCUUGGGUGUCAAACCCAUGCGCGUAAUGAAAGUGAACGGAGGUGAGAGCCGCAAGGCGCAUCAUCGACCGAUCCUGAUGUCUUCGGAUGGAUUUGAGUAUGAGCAUAGCUGUUGGGACCCGAAAGAUGGUGAACUAUGCCUGAACAGGGUGAAGCCAGAGGAAACUCUGGUGGAGGCUCGCAGCGGUUCUGACGUGCAAAUCGAUCGUCAAAUUUGGGUAUAGGGGCGAAAGACUAAUCGAACCAUC
rnacentral:rRNA from 1 species